rnacentral:rRNA from 1 species
UGACGGUACCACUUGAAUAAGCUCCGGCUAACUACGUGCCAGCAGCCGCGGUAAUACGUAGGGAGCAAGCGUUAUCCGGAUUUACUGGGUGUAAAGGGCGUGUAGGCGGGACUGCAAGUCAGAUGUGAAAGCACGGGGCUCAACUCCGUGUCUGCAUUUGAAACUGUAGUUCUUGAGUGUUGGAGAGGCUAACGGAAUUCCUAGUGUAGCGGUGAAAUGCGUAGAUAUUAGGAGGAACACCAGUGGCGAAGGCGGUUAGCUGGACAGUAACUGACGCUGAGGCGCGAAAGCGUGGGUAGCAAACAGGAUUAGAUACCCUG